UCGAGAUGUAAGCGCAGUUGGUUAAAGCGCUGCACCGGAAUCGCAGGGACGCAGAUUCAAUUCCUGCCAGAG
rnacentral:tRNA from 1 species